rnacentral:rRNA from 1 species
CCUACGGGACGCAGCAGUGGGGAAUAUUGCACAAUGGGGGAAACCCUGAUGCAGCGACGCCGCGUGAAGGAAGAAGUAUUUCGGUAUGUAAACUUCUAUCAGCAGGGAAGAAAAUGACGGUACCUGACUAAGAAGCCCCGGCUAACUACGUGCCAGCAGCCGCGGUAAUACGUAGGGGGCAAGCGUUAUCCGGAUUUACUGGGUGUAAAGGGAGCGUAGGCGGUUUAGCAAGUCAGAAGUGAAAGCCCGGGGCUCAACCCCGGGACUGCAUUUGGAACUGUGUGGCUAGAGUGUCGGAGAGGCAG